CUCGCCCGUAAGCCUUCUUCUCUUCUCUGUCUAACUUCUCUCUAUCUUCUAAGUCUUAGCCAGAGCAGCAGCUGCAGCACCGUCGACUCCUCUUCCAUGCCGCCCCCGUCACUCAAUCUCACUCUGGGGCUCUGCUCAGUACCCAGUUUCCUUUCCCGUGGUCAUGGUUGUGCGUCGGAUCUGCUUCUUCAACAUGUUGUUAGUGCGUGAAUGGUGUUUUGGUUGGCCAGAUCUACGAUGUUUUUUUUUUGUAUUUUUGAUGAUCUGGGCAAGUUUUACUCUUCAGAUUAGAAGCCCCCAAAUCUCUCUCUCUCUCUCUCUAAGAGGAAACCCUAGCCACUACAUCGUGCCUUUGAUGCCAUUUUCACUCGUCGGACUACUGCAGUGUUGUGACUACCAUCGUUGCUCUCUCGCCGAACGUUUGGAUCACCACCUUCGACAAAAACUGCCGCCAGCCAAUUUGGGUGGAUUUGUGAGUGAAAUGCUUGCUAGUGGACCUGAAGAACCCAUACCAUCAUCUAUUUGUGUUUUGGAAAAGUUAAAAGAUUUGUUGACAUUAUUUGCAGCUUAUAGAAUAUUUUUAUUGUAUAAUUUAUUGACAUUAUUUCCUUUUGAAUGAACACGCAGGUGUGCUAUGGGAAAUUGCUAUAGCUUGCAAAAAGACCAUAGAUAUUUAAUUUCCAUGGGUCCUGCAAUAAAAUAAGACCAUUAGAUAUGUAAUUUUCAUAUAUUGUAAUUUUGUAUUUGUAAUGUAAUGUAAAAAUACCAAAUAAUGUAAUAUGGAGUGAAUUGCAU